UACAGAGGUCUCAAGCGUUGUUCGGAUUCAUUGGGCGUAAAGGGUGCGUAGGCGGCGCGGUAAGUCGGGUGUGAAAUCUUGGAGCUUAACUCCGAAACUGCAUUCGAUACUGCCGUGCUUGAGGACUGGAGAGGAGACUGGAAUUUACGGUGUAGCGGUGAAAUGCGUAGAUAUCAGGAGGAACACCGGUGGCGAAGGCGGCCCUCUGGACGGUGACUGACGCUGAGACGCGAAAGCGUGGGGAGCAAACAGG
rnacentral:rRNA from 1 species